rnacentral:rRNA from 1 species
GACGAACGCUGGCGGCGUGCCUAAUACAUGCAAGUCGAGCGGACCAAAGGGAGCUUGCUCCUGGAGGUUAGCGGCGAACGGGUGAGUAACACGUGGGCAACCUGCCUGUAAGACUGGGAUAACAUCGAGAAAUCGGUGCUAAUACCGGAUAAUAAAAGAACUGCAUGGUUCUUUUUGAAAGAUGGUUUCGGCUAUCACUUACAGAUGGGCCGCGGCGCAUUAGCUAGUUGGUGAGGUAACGGCUCACCAAGGCAACGAUGCGUAGCCGACCUGAGAGGGUGAUCGGCCACACUGGGACUGAGACACGGCCCAGACUCCUACGGGAGGCAGCAGUAGGGAAUCUUCCGCAAUGGACGAAAGUCUGACGGAGCAACGCCGCGUGAGUGAUGAAGGUUUUCGGAUCGUAAAACUCUGUUGUUAGGGAAGAACAAGUGCCGUUCGAAAGGGCGGCACCUUGACGGUACCUAACGAGAAAGCCACGGNUAACUACGUGCCAGCAGCCGCGG